GGCCAGACUCCUACGGGAGGCAGCAGUGGGGAAUAUUGCACAAUGGGGGGAACCCUGAUGCAGCGACGCCGCGUGGGUGAAGGAGCACCUCGGUGCGUAAAGCCCUAUCGGCAGGGAAGAAACAGACGGUACCUGACUAAGAAGCACCGGCUAACUCCGUGCCAGCAGCCGCGGUAAUACGGGGGGUGCAAGCGUUGUCCGGAAUCAUUGGGCGUAAAGAGUUCGUAGGUGGCAUAUUAAGUCUGGUGUUAAAUACAGAAGCUCAACUUCUGUUCGGCACUGGAUACUGGUAAGCUUGAAUGCGGUAGAGGUAAAGGGAAUUCCUGGUGUAGCGGUGAAAUGCGUAGAUAUCAGGAGGAACAUCGGUGGCGUAAGCGCUUUACUGGGCCGUAAUUGACACUGAGGAACGAAAGCCGGGGUAGCAAAUGGGAUUAGAUACCCGCGUA
rnacentral:rRNA from 1 species